UACGAAGGGAGCUAGCGUUGUUCGGAAUCACUGGGCGUAAAGCGCACGUAGGCGGCUUUGUAAGUUAGAGGUGAAAGCCCGGGGCUCAACUCCGGAAUUGCCUUUAAGACUGCAUCGCUCGAAUUGUGGAGAGGUAAGUGGAAUUCCGAGUGUAGAGGUGAAAUUCGUAGAUAUUCGGAAGAACACCCGGUGGCGAAGGCGGUUCUCUGGGACGGUACUGGACGCUGAGACGCGAAAGCGUGGGGAGCGAACAGG
rnacentral:rRNA from 1 species